rnacentral:rRNA from 1 species
AGCAGCCGCGGUAAUUCCAGCUCCAAUAGCGUAUAUUAAAGUUGUUGCAGUUAAAAAGCUCGUAGUUGAAUUUCGGGGUUCUACCGUUGGUCAGGCUUUGUCUGUACUGGCGUGUAGAAUUUCUACCUUCUGGGGAACCAUCAUGUUAUUAAUUUAGUGUGAUGGGAAACCAGGACCUUUACCUUGAAAAAUUAGAGUGUUCAAAGCAGGCUUAUGUCUGAAUACAUUAGCAUGGAAUAAUAGAAUAGGACGGUGGUCCUGUUUUGUUGGUUUCUGAAUCACCGUAAUGAUUAAUAGGGAUAGUUGGGGGCAUUAGUAUUCAAUUGUCAGAGGUGAAAUUCUUGGAUUUAUUGAAGACUAACUUCUGCGAAAGCAUUUGCCAAGGAUGUUUUCAUUAAUCAAGAACGAAAGUUAGGGGAUCGAAGACGAUCAGAUACCGUCGUAGUCUUAACCAUAAACUAUGCCGACUAGGGAUCGGACGAUGUUAACUUUUCUUGACUCGUUCGGCGCCUUACGGGAA